UACAGAGGGUGCAAGCGUUAAUCGGAAUUACUGGGCGUAAAGCGUGCGUAGGCGGUAGAUAUAGUCAGAUGUGAAAGCCCGGGCUCAACCUGGGAAUUGCAUCUGAUACUGAUUUACUAGAGUAUGGCAGAGGAUAGUGGAAUUUCUGGUGUAGCGGUGAAAUGCGUAGAUAUCAGAAGGAACACCAGUGGCGAAGGCGACUGUCUGGGCCAAUACUGACGCUGAGGUACGAAAGCGUGGGUAGCGAACAGGAUUAGAUACCCCGGUA
rnacentral:rRNA from 1 species